UACGUAGGGUGCAAGCGUUAAUCGGAAUUACUGGGCGUAAAGCGUGCGCAGGCGGUUUUGUAAGUUUGUCGUGAAAUCCCCGGGCUCAACCUGGGAACUGCAUUUGUGACUGUAGAGCUGGAGUACGGCAGAGGGGGAUGGAAUUCCGCGUGUAGCAGUGAAAUGCGUAGAUAUGCGGAGGAACACCGAUGGCGAAGGCAAUCCCCUGGGCCUGUACUGACGCUCAUGCACGAAAGCGUGGGGAGCAAACAGG
rnacentral:rRNA from 1 species